rnacentral:tRNA from 1 species
UGGGGCGUCGCCAAGCGGUAAGGCACCGGUUUUUGGUACCGGCAUUCACAGGUUCGAAUCCUGUCGCCCCAG